UCUCACCACUCUAUAAAAACCUCCAUAUCCAACAGUUUUCAUAUUCUAAUCUUCGGCAAACUCUUCAAACCUUCUCUCCUCGAUUUUCAUUAUUCUUAUGUUUAUUUCUUUUCUCAGUGUUAGAUCUCUUAUGCUUUGAACAUUUGUCUCUUGAUUUGAUUUUUUGUUUGUUGGAUUUUCGUAACGGAGAAACAAGCCUAAUAUUGCAAUUCUCUGAUCUGCCGAUAUGGAAAUCGAUCAGAGAAUCUAUCAUUAGGCGAUACGGAAGGUCGGUAUGCAUACAUCUUCUAUGUAUAUUUCUCCCUUUAGCUCCGAAUCUCCUCGUUCCUCUUCUUGGAACAGUAGGAUGUUUUGGUGACAAGGAAGGAUUUGCUUGUUUUUUUCCCCACUUUAGUUUGGAAUGACAAGGCCGGUGAUGUGAUUAUAAAUAUUUGCUACUCUUGAUGGAUUUAUCCUGUAUGAUGAUCAUCUAACCACCAAGAUCUCUGAGGCCUUUCUAAUUGAUCUCCAUUUUCCUCAGAUGUUUCUUAUAAAAUUUUCUUCAAUUUAUUCUCAAGUCUUUGUAAAA